UACGAAGGGGGCUAGCGUUGCUCGGAAUCACUGGGCGUAAAGGGUGCGUAGGCGGGUCUUUAAGUCAGGGGUGAAAUCCUGGAGCUCAACUCCAGAACUGCCUUUGAUACUGAGAGUCUUGAGUUCGGGAGAGGUGAGUGGAACUGCGAGUGUAGAGGUGAAAUUCGUAGAUAUUCGCAAGAACACCAGUGGCGAAGGCGGCUCACUGGCCCGAUACUGACGCUGAGGCACGAAAGCGUGGGGAGCAAACAGGG
rnacentral:rRNA from 1 species